AUGGUUUCAUCAAUGAAGCAGUACAGAGAUCAGGCCGAUGCGCCCUCGCCCCUCUCCCUCUCUCUGUCCCUGGGAGUCGUCUCCGACAGCAGCAAGAAGAUGCACCGCGGCGGCGCGGACGGUGAGUUCGUGUGCAAGACGUGCAGCCGCUCCUUCCCGUCGUUCCAGGCUCUGGGAGGACACCGGACCAGCCACCUCCGUGGCCGCCACUGCCUCGCGCUCGGCCUCGCUGCGGGGUCCGAUCAGCCGGGGACCAAGAAGACGGUGGACCAGAAGCAGGCGCACCGGUGCCACGUCUGCGGGAUCGGGUUCGAGAUGGGGCAGGCGCUUGGCGGCCACAUGCGCCGCCACCGCGAGCAGGAGGCCGCCACCACGGCGCAGGCGCCGCCCGUUCUGCUCCAGCUCUUCCUCUAG
rnacentral:rRNA from 1 species